AUACGGAGGGUGAAAGCGUUAUUCGGAAUCACUGGGCGUAAAGGACGCGUAGGCGGGUUGGCAAGUCAGAUGUGAAAUCCUACAGCUUAACUGUAGAACUACAUUUGAAACUGCUAACCUAGAGUAUGGGAGGGGGAGAUGGAAUUAGUGGUGUAGGGGUAAAAUCCGUAGAUAUCACUAGGAAUACCGAAAGCGAAGGCGAUCUCCUGGAGCAUAACUGACGCUAAGGCGUGAAAGCGUGGGGAGCAAACAGGAUUAGAAACCCUUGUAGUCC
rnacentral:rRNA from 1 species